GACAAUGGGCGCAAGCCUGAUCCAGCCAUGCCGCGUGCAGGAAGACGGUCCUAUGGAUUGUAAACUGCUUUUGUACAGGAAGAAACACUCCCUCGUGAGGGGGCUUGACGGUACUGUAAGAAUAAGGAUCGGCUAACUCCGUGCCAGCAGCCGCGGUAAUACGGAGGAUCCAAGCGUUAUCCGGAAUCAUUGGGUUUAAAGGGUCCGUAGGCGGCUUUAUAAGUCAGUGGUGAAAGCCCAUCGCUCAACGAUGGAACGGCCAUUGAUACUGUAGAGCUUGAAUUAUUAGGAAGUAACUAGAAUAUGUAGUGUAGCGGUGAAAUGCUUAGAGAUUACAUGGAAUACCAAUUGCGAAGGCAGGUUACUACUAAUGGAUUGACGCUGAUGGACGAAAGCGUGGGGAGCGAACAGGAUUAGAUACCCUGGUAGUCCACGCCGUAAACGAUGGAUACUAGCUGUUGGGGGCAACUUCAGUGGCUAAGCGAAAGUGAUAAGUAUCCCACCUGGGGAGUACGU
rnacentral:rRNA from 1 species